GACGAACGCUGGCGGCGUGCCUAAUACAUGCAAGUCGAACGCUGAAGGAGGAGCUUGCUUCUCCGGAUGAGUUGCGAACGGGUGAGUAACGCGUAUGUAACCUGCCUGUUAGCGGGGGGUAACUAUUGGAAACGAUAGCUAAUACCGCAUAAGAGUAGAUGUCGCAUGACAUUUGCUUGAAAGGUGCAACUUCACCGCUACCAAAUGACCCUGCCUUGUAUUAGCUAGUUGGUAAGGGAACGGCUCACCAAGGCAACGAUACAUAGCCGACCUGAUCGGGUGAUCGGCCACACUGGGACUGAGACACGGCCCAGACUCCUACGGGAGGCAGCAGUGGGGAAUCUUCGGCAAUGGGCGGAAGCCUGACCGAGCAACGCCGCGUGAGUGAAGAAGGUUUUCGGAUCGUAAAGCUCUGUUGUUAGGGAAGAACGAGUGUGAGAGUGGAAAGUGCACACUGUGACGGAAUCUCACCAAAAAGGAACGCAGAACUAAGG
rnacentral:rRNA from 1 species